rnacentral:ncRNA from 1 species
AUAAAGUUUUAUUCUAAUUUAAAUAUUAAAUUAAAUUUUUAUUUAUAUGUAAGUAUUAGUGUGAGGGGAUAUUGUUUCUUAAAAAGCUACAAUACACACUAUAUUCGCAGUAGGUAUAAUUAAAUAUUAAAGAAAUUUAGAUUUAGAAAUAAUUUUUAUUAUUGGCAAAAUUUGUGCCAGCAGCUGCGGUUAAACAAAUAAUAUAAUUUAAUAUUAUCGGCUUUAAUUAAUUUGAUAACAAAAUGAUUAUAUAUUUGAAUUUAUUGGGUGAAAUCUUAAGUUUAGGCCAAAAUUAAUUGGGGGAUUAAUGAGGUUAAGAAAUUUAUUAGAUAAACUAGGAUUAGAUACCCUAUUAUUGUAAACGUUAAAUUUAUAGCUGGUUUACUAAUAGUUAUGUUCUUUAAAAUUAAAGAUUUUGGCGGUAUUUUAGUCUAUUUAGAGGAACCUGUCCUAUAAUCGAUGCUCCACGAUUAGAACUACCGAAAUUUUUAAUCUAUAUAUCGUCGUAGUCGAAUACUUUAGAAGAGUUUGAGUGUUCAAGAUUUUUUAUUAAAAAAGUAAAUCAGAUCAAGGUAUCGUUUAUAUUUCGGAAGAGAUGGGUUACAUUGGGUUUAUUUUGGAUUGAAAAUUUUAAAUUUUUUUGAAAUUGGAUUUAAAAGUAAUUUUUAAAUAUUUAUAAAAUGAUUUUAGCUCUGAAAUAUGUACAUAUCGCCCGUCGCUUUCAUAUUAAAAUGAAAUAAGUCGUAACAUAGUAGUUUUACUGGAAAGUGAGUCUAGGAUUGU